UUUUUUUUAUGUCGAUUCAGGCGGAUAAAAAUGCCAAUUAAAGUAAUAAAUUAAGUACACACUGGUUUACUGAUUUACUCAUUAUUUUUGUAGAAAAUCUCAGUGACAGACCGAACGUUAAUUCACUUAAGCGUAGAAAGGUAAUCGCGUGUUCGUCAGUAAUUGGAUGUGGGAGUUGUGUAUUAAUUUUAAUGGAUAAAUGAUUUUGGAUAUUUGGAUCUCUAAUGUUAUAGCGCCAUAUUACCUUUAUAUUUUUGGUUGAAGUGAGUAUCUUAUACAUCGUUUGAACAUACGCAGAAUACAGUGUCUUGGAUAUUUACGCUUCGGAGUUCGCGUAAAUUGAUAAUUUGUUGAAGCCUCAGUGUGUUAGCUGGGAAACCGAUGGUAUUCCUUUUGUAGUGUUUAAGAUCUCGGUUGCCGGAUAUACCAGUGUAUUGUCAUUUCUUAAUUGAAGGGUAGAACUAAGUGAAGUUGGCACAUAAAUAAAUGGAUUAACACAAAGUAACAAGUGCAAAAAAAGUGAGAACUUCAAAACAAAUUUCCAAAGGAAAUCAAGAAAGAGGGGACCAUGGGAGUUUACUUGUUUUCACAGUUAUUAUUAUUUGUGGGAUGCAGAAUGACUCAUGUGGUGGGCCUAAGUUGUCAGUAGGGUGGUGUGUGUACACAGUACUUCAGACAGCGUGAGGUGGUUACUAUGACAAAGAAGGAGCUACUACUGAUUUAAUUUUUCAUGGUGAUCAACUGACAUAUAUUGUAAGCACAAGAUUGAAGUUAAAUGUCAGGUGGAGGGGUGGGGCAGGGAGCGGUGUACUCUCCACUUCCACAGUCAAUUAGUGAUACAGAUUCUACAGAAGAGGAGCUUAAUAACAUUGUUCAUCAAAAUGACAACAGGAAAUUUGUUGUAACGAAUAAAGAUACAGUAGAUAAGCAUAACGGUAAAAAAAUGGGUGAAUAUCGGCCAUUGGGACACGAUGGGGAGGGUGAGAUCUCCAUAAAUGGCCUACCAAAUCGUGAUUUGGUUGUCAGUGAUGAGAUUCCAAUCAUUAAGCCAGAUGGAUCGCUCCCACGUCACUUGGAACCAAUGUCUCCUUUACGUAAAAUUAGCUUCAGUCUUUCAAUUCUUCUGUGUGGACUGACCAUUGUUGUAUUCCUGUGGCUUCUUCCUUGUGACUGGGCAACCUGCCCAUCAGUGGCUCAGAGAUCAGGCGCCAGAUCCUGGGAGAGAACAUUGCAGGGUUUAGAGCUUAAGGGAGGAAUUAGUGUGGUGGCUGGAGUCCCAGGUCGAGGUCGAAAUUUGGUAUUCCUUGCACGAGGUGAUGUUAUCAAUGCCGGCCAAACAGAUGAGGAUUUGAGGGACUUCCCUGCAAGUGGAGGUGGACUCGUAUCACUGAUUGGGUCUACUGGUGAAGUUGCCUGGUAUAUUCACUUUCAUAGAACUCCCCAUGCUAUGGAUUGCUCACUUAUAGAUGUCACAGGAGAUGGAGCAGAGGAUUGUAUUGUGGUGGGGACUGGCAAACUUCUGGUGGCUGUUGAUCCUGUACCAGGUAAUAUAGUGUGGUACCUCCACAGUCAUCGUAACAAUAACAGAAAUGCAAUUGAUCUGGAGUUCCCUAUUAUCCUGCCUGAUCUCGAUGGAGAUGGUGUGAGAGAGCUGGUCACAGUGUGUAGCUUCAAUGGUACUUCUGAGAGAUCUGCCACUGUUUCUGAUCGCAAUAACUUUAUUGUGAUUUCUGGAAAGAUGGGGGAAAUCAUAGGACAAGCUGUUCGUAUUGCCUCAUGUACUCGUAUUCAAGGCCUCUCUGUGGACAGGAGCUGGAGCAUUGUGUAUACAUGCCAGAAAGCAGAUAAAGAAGAAGUGUCCACUGGAAUAAUCUCAAUGCAGGAACUGUAUGCAAAUGCCACACGCAAGCAGCUGAAUAUGUCUGCCUAUCUGCAGAGUCCUCCACUCAAACAGCAUCAAGUUCUGGGUGUAUCGUCUACUGUCAAGAAAGUGAAUGGUCGUUGGCUGACUCUAGUGAAUGAAGGGCACUGUCCAACCCAUUGCAAUGUUUCAGUUAAAGUAACAGAUGAACGGCAUGAUAAUGAGACUGUUUGGAAUUUCCAGCAUGAUAACACUUAUGGUAUGGUACCUGCUGUUCUAGUCUUUAACAGCCGUUCUGGAGCUUCAACUCUCGUCGAGCCGGUUAGUGGGUUCGUGUUGAAAUUUUGGACAUGGACCUCUGCUAACAGUCACUUGUCUUCGUCCAUGAUAAAAGACAACAAUACCAUGAGCACAGUAUUCAGCAAUCCCCUGUUCCGAUACCGUUUGAAAAGAUUUGUGAGAAAUGGAAAGUGGGCUGAAAUGCAUAUUGGGAAAGAGAGAUUUAGCCGUAGUGUUAUCACACCUCUGAAACUAAAUGUAAGGAAUGGGAGCAGUGUCCAAGUGGAUUUACAUCAACUGAAAGAACGAGUGGUACUUUAUACAUUCAACGCUACCGAUAACCACAUUGUGAAUGCAAGUCUGAACGAUGUCACACAGUUGUGCUCCAGUCACGGCCCAUCAGAAACGGAUCAGCUUUGCCAGCCAGACCUCAGCUACCAACAGCAGUCAUUGUUGAUUGCAGAUCUGGACCAAGACGGUUCACAAGAACUCAUAUCAUACCUGACUACCUACACAACUGAUAAUCCAGAGGGUUCAUCACAUGCAUUAGAUACUUCAAAAUGGCACCUGCAGUCCAGAGUACGAGUUGUCCAACUAGAAGCAGAAUUACCCAAAUUAUAUGAGGCUGUAGCACGACAGUGAGCCAUUAGUAAUCACGUAUGUUCAUGUAACGAUCUUGCAGUAGGAGAUUUGUGGAUCAUCCAAAGGGUGUAAUGAAAAUGGUGAAGAAAGGAGCAGUGAAUUUGGAAGUUAAGUGAAUAUUGUGUAAGAGAAUGAAUUAGAUGUACUUGUGAACUAAGUGAAUGCAAAGGGAGCAGUGUCUAGUGUUUAUUGCUUUAUCUAUGUAUAUUUAAACAAUGUCCUUAUGAGAUUGAUAUGUCUGAUAUAGCAGUGUAAUUGGAAAUUGCUAAGAGCUGCAUUCCCUUUGAUAUUGUCACAGGUAGGGGGUGCAUGACUAUUAGACAGGUUUUGGAUUGGAUGAUUGGAUUUAUUGACACCUUAUACAUUCAACUUGUAACUGAAAAUAAUACAGUACUGUCACUGAUAUACACACUUUACAGUUCACCAUUAAGCUUGUAUCACAUUAUCGCUCAAGCCACGCUCACGCUCUCGGGACACUUACGCUCAUGUCACGCUCCAAGGUAGUCACACCAUGACGCUCAGGAGUUUAGAUGGAAGUGAACGAAAUGAAUUUUUCUGACGAAGAACUUCUAUUGAUUGCGGUAUUGUUAGAUGAUGAUGAAGCGAAACCUACAGGAAGAAGAAAAUGGGUGCACCCUUCUUUGCUUUGUAGAGCAACGGAGGGGGAGUUUCAUACACUAUUUCCACAGUUACUGGAUGAUGAAACUAAAUUCUUUCAGUACUUCAGGAUGUCCAGGGAACAGUUCGAAAUACUGCUUUCGAAAAUUGGGAGUGACUUGAAGAAACAGGACACCACAUUUCGCGCAGCUAUUUCACCAAGAGAGAAAUUAGCAGUUUGUUUAAGGUUCCUAGCCACUGGGGACUCAUUUCGAACCAUUGCGUUCAGUUUUCGACUAGGGUAUUGUACGGUUCAGAAUGCAGUUCAUGGAGUUUGCAAAGCUAUUGUAAAAAAUAUGUUGCAGGAAGUAAUGCCUACUCCAACAAAAAAUGAGUGGGAGAGAAUUGCAAGAGAAUUUUGGGAUCAGUGGCAGUUUCCCAAUUGUUUAGGAUCUUUGGAUGGAAAACAUGUUGUGAUAGAGGCUCCUCAAAAUUCUGGUUCCCUCUACUUCAAUUACAAGAAAACAUUUUCAAUAGUUUUAUUGGCACUUGUUGAUGCUAAUUACAAAUUUAUAGCAGUAGACAUUGGGUCUUAUGGACGGAGUAGUGAUGGUGGAAUAUUUUCCACUUCAAAGCUUGGAAGGUGUUUAGAAAUGGGAACUCUAGACAUUCCAGAAGAUGCACUGCUGCCGGGAACACAACAACUGGCUCCAUACAUAAUUGUUGGUGAUCCGGCCUUUCCAUUAAAAAAAUACUUGAUCAGGCCCUUCCCUGGUCUACAAGUCGAAAACCGUAUUGAGAGACGCAUUUUCAACUACAGGUUGUCUCGCGCCCGUAGGGUUGUUGAAAAUGCCUAUGGAAUUCUGACACAAAAGUUUAGAAUUUACAACAGAAGACUGAAAUUAGCGCCUAAAUAUGCUGAAAAGGUGGUUUUAGCCACGUGCAUUUUGCACAAUUUCAUUCGCGCAGGAACGACUGCAGUGCCUUUGAAUGAUGAUCAGAUAGUGGCAGGUAAUUUGAUGGACUUAUCGAGACAAGGUGGAAAUUGUUCAAUAAUAGCUUUUGAAAUAAGAGAGAUAUUCACAAGAUUCUUUAAUUCAGAACAAGGUUUCGUCCCUUGGCAACACAAUAUGAUUUAAACAAGUGUAUUUCUAACUGUAUUUGUUUGAUGCUAAUAAAGUGAUUAUUGAAAGUUACCAGAUUUUUUUAACGCUGUUCCGAUCUCUUCCCACACUUUCUUCUUACGUACAUUAUCACUGUACAAUUUGUGUGUUAAAUCAUAAAGCUCAGGCUUGGCACGAACAAGUUCAAUCAAUUCUUCCUCCAUGCUUUGCUUUGACUGGUGAAAUGAAAGAAAAAUGAGAAGCAGAACCUUUGAGCUCGGGACUCGCGCGCAGUCUUGGUCACACUAGACGCUCAGCUCGCGGUACACUUAGAGUUGAACGCUCAAAAUAUUCUCGGCGAUGAUUGCGGUGCUCACUGUGAGUGCGCGUGAGCAUGGCGUGCACCCCAGUAUGAUCAAUCCUAUAACAUUUACAUUGUUUGGAUUUUAACCGUUGCGUGAGCAUCCCUAUAAUGUGAUACAACCUUUACACACACACUUGGGUUCUCAAUCUUCACUAGUCAUAUCCUGGCAACAUAUUCCAACACAGUAGUUAUACCAGUCUCACUGUAACUGCAGCACACAUUACGUCUUCUUUGCACAGCCUGAUUCCUUUCUUGCCAUCAUCUCAAUUAAUCUGCCAACUUCCAUGUCCAGAGACUGGACUUGAUUCUAUUCCUCUGUGCCCAAGGUCAUAUCCUGGCAGGCUGGCAUCUCAAAACUCAACUAACUCAAUCUUGUCCUUUUUAUAACUCCUCAGCAUGGACCAUGCAGAAAAUACAGCCUCUCUCUUGUUGAGAAGGAGUGUUUACAGUGCCGUUGCAUAGCAACAGAGGUUGGUUAUUUGAUUGUUGCUUGUGCAUUUGUUGCCACGGGAAUGUUUUUACCAAGCAGUUGCGUAGCAAUGGACAUCUCUGAUUUCACAGUUCCGGCUUUCAGGCAUCAUGUCACAAUAUAGUUAUCAUAAUUGCGAGUUGUUUUGCUAAGAUGAUUAUGAGCAGAUUUACAUUUACAUUAAAUAAGAGGCGAAGUUAAACUCGAUGUUCAUUAAGUUUAAGAUUAUUCCACUAAGUGUAAAGUCAUUAGUGUUUUUUAAAAUGAUUAAGUAGGCAUAUAGGUUUUCAAACAUUUGAUCAUAUGACAUUCAUGUUACUGACUUGCAUCAUCUCUAGAGCAGACA